UACACAGGAAAGCAGGGGAGGGGAGAGAAGCCUUCUCAUUGCCUGGGCACAGCUGAGCUGAAUAAUAUAAGCCAGGAGCUUCUGGUGGCCAUGCCUCCUGUGCCUGUCCUCGCAAGGAUGAAGUCAUCCCCAGUAAGAGAAAAUGAGGCCUGAGCACAGAGAAAAGUCAAGACGAAUGACGGAGGCAAAGGGAUGGGAGUAGGAAGCCAAAGAAGCCUGAAUAAUCAAGAAAUUGGUACCUGCAAACGGGGACUUGUAAGCAAUAAGGUAACAGGAUGUGCGAUGGGACUGUUCCUGUUGUCCGGGAAUUCCAGCUAAAGCCCAGAGGCGAGGACAAAGAGGCUCUAAGCCAAGAAGCACACCACCUGCUGAAGCGAGCUGCCCACCAUGGCACACGCUGCCUACCCGGGCUCACCAAAAGGUGACCUGCUGUCCCCAUCGCUCCUUCCUAAUCUGUACGAGAUGACUGGGAAGGAGAAAAAGGGGAGACGGAGGCAGAAUCAUCUGUCCUGCGGGGAGGGCAGUGUUUGUGGUGAGAGGUGACCUCCCCCUAAGCCAAAUACUGGGACACUCUGGGGGUUCUGCCCAGAGAGGGGGCCCUGAGGGAAGGGGAGACUGGCCUGCUGUUCCCUGGUUGGCUAUUAUUUUCUAAUGUGCCCUUGGACUUACCGAAGGAAGGUGGAGGAGAAUGGGCACUGUUUCAGGAUGGGAAUGGGGCAAAGGGAGAGCUCCCUGCACUCCUACUGUUGCCCUGACAAGAAGGGAAGAAUUUCCAUUCGGGCUAAGUGGACAUCGUGGACGGUAGCUGGGCUUGGGCCCACAGGUCCUCCAGAGGACUCACCAGCAUUUGAAUAUCUGCCUCAGAGGGGGAGUCAGUCACUGUGAGCCCAAAACACAGUAACAGCGGGCCUAGAAAGGACGGCAGCUGUGGCCAGGUGGGUAAAGAUGCUCUCGUCCAGUUUCCUCUCCUUCUGCCCAGCCCAAACACACCAGUGAGCUUUGAAGCCAGAUACCCGAGGGUUACCAUAGAAAUGUGGAUGAAGACAGUGGGGACUGAAGUCAGGUUUCUGAGGGUUACUGUAGAUAUUCAAUAUGAACAUGAUUGCCUUUCACAAUUUGCUAUUUUCUUGUUUGAGCUGAGGGGUGACUCAGGGGUCAUGAGGACCUGUGAGCCUGUUUUGCUGAAGAGAGAACGCCUUCAGGGAUGUUGUGAUGACAGGACGAUCAGCCCCCCAGUGGCUGUUGACGCCCAGAAGUCAGAUUGCCCAGGAGCUUCUCUACAGUGAAAGAAAUACGGACUUACCCUUCGUUUCUCCAAAACUCCUCCUGCCAAGCCCCUUGGCUCUGUAAAACGCCCUGCUUUCUUCUCUGGUUAAGGCAGAUUUAAGAGAACCUCUCCUCCCGCCUUCUUGUUUCGGUGAAUUCAAAUAAACCUUUCUCCGUCUCCACGCAGGGAUGGCUCAGCGACUGACCUACUGCGCGUGGGUGUGUGAACUGGAGACUAAGAGGUUCCCUAUGGAGCGGGGCCUUGAAGAAGGGAGGGAGGGAUAGCUCAGAACCUGAUCACGCUCCUUCCCCAGCUUCAUUGCUAGCAGUCAGGAUUCCAGUUCAAGACCGCUCCAUGUGAGGGCAGGGGAAAAGGGAGAAGAGAUUUUAAUCAUUUGAGAUUGAAGUCUAAAAGUAGACUGGACCUUUAAGAACCAGGAAGGGGAGUCUUCCUGUGUCUGGCCGGCCCUGUCUGCCCCCAGGGAGCAUUUCCCACCCCCAACUCUGCCCUGCAGUGGGGUGGGGCCAGAUCCCCGCAGGCUGUGCUGCCCAGGCCCACAGGCCUGAGUACCUGGCUUCUGGCUCCUUUGGUAGGUGAGGGACUGGCAAGCAGGAGGAAGGGAGGAGUCAGGCAUUUUCCUUCCAUCCUCUCUGCCUCCAGUGCAGUUGCUGGCUGCCGGCUCUUCUUCUCUUCUGCCUCCAGGCUCAGCGCGGUCCAGCUUUUGCUGUUUGAGCCUCGCCUCCGGGCUGUGGGAACACGUCUUCCUCCAUUUGCCCCUCUGUUGAUAAUAUCUGGAUAGUCUUACUGUGCCCUGUUCAGCUUCUCAGCUUUUCCAUCACUUGUGUAACUUAUCAUCUGCAUCAAAUUCCCUCUGUUUCAAAUACUUAAAGUGCUUUUUGUCUUUUGAGCGGACCUUAACUCAUCUUUUUCCCCAGAGGUUUAUAAGGGUCUAUGCUGUAAAGGACGCUGCUAUAAAUAUCGCAGGGUCGGGGAUAGCAUUUGUAAGAAAUCAAAUAGUUUUAUAUUAAUAUCUUCAUCAAGACAUCUCAAUAGACUAGUUACAAACACCCCAACUCAAAUGUCAUCUCUUCAGAAGGGUAUCUCAGCAUCCCUCACCCCAGUGGCAUCCCAUUACCUUAUUUUGUGUUUUUUAAAGCCGUUUUCAGUACCUGAAUUCAUCUUAUCUAUUUAUUUGUGUCCAUGUGUAUUAUCUCCCUCCCCUCCCACUGGAAGAUAAGAUCCUUGAGGCCAGUAACUCUUGCUGUAUCCCUAUGCGCUCAAUAAUUAAUAACUGACCGGCCAGCAUCAGGACCUGGUGAAAUGGAGUGUGCGCCAUCCUGAGACGCUCCACCAGCAGCAGCGGGAUGUGAUAGUUGUACGUCUCUUGGUUGUCAAAUCUUGAGGGGCAUCCUCCUUUUUUUGAGGAAUUGCUCCUAUCCCACCCAUAAAAAUAGCUAAGAAUGCAGAAUUUGUGGAGAGGAUCAAAGAUAUUAAGAUGUCACAUUUACUGUUGCUGCCAUGACCGAAGCCGAAAAGCAGCACAGAACCGUGCGGAGGGUGGGCCCUGACUUGGACCUGCCUCUAAGGAGGGGUGAGCCUGGACUGCUGAGUGGGGGUGUAGGAGCUGCCUCUGCGUCUGCACCUUUAGCAGCCCUCUAGCCCAUCUCUGGCUUCAGCCACGGCUGUGGUAGGCAGUUCCACUCUGCUUUUGCUGCUGGUAUUCCACCUGCAGACUCAUGCCACCUGUCUUUCUCCAUUCCACGCUCAGACCUUCUCCCAAUGCCCGGAAGCUUUCUGGGCUGGCUUGCAAGCCCAGCUCAGAAAUGCAGAGGAGUUAAUACCCUAUAGGCAACCCUCAACCAACACAGAACGGUGGCUGAUGGACAAAUGCUCCAGCCUCCAGUCCAACAGGUGGAGACUUUCGGGAGAUAUUCUGCACGCUUCUCAGAGGUCCUGGUGGAAUUGAACUCCCACCGCUGACAGUAGUGACCUCAACAAUGCAUCCAUAGAUGAACUCUCCCCUUCUCUGUCUCACUCCCCCUGUCCCUUCACUCCUGCUUCCUGGGAUCACCUGUACCAAGUCUUGUCUCAGGCUCUGCUUUGGGGGACACUACAGUCUGGGAAAUGUUUGAUGUGGACAGAAGCAGGACUAAUGGUGGAACUUCUAAGUUAGCCUCCCUCCUGCAUGUGGGAUGCCUUGAAGAAAGCUGCAGCGUAGAUGAAAAGGAAACGCUAUACCAUCUAACAGCUGGGACACCGGAGACCAGGCGGUUCUGCUGCAGGCCCCAUAACCACCGAGGACACUAUGAGAAGCAGCGCCCUUCCUCGAGCUCUGAGAAAGCACCCCUGCUUGGACCGACUGAGACCUGUGUCAGCGAAAGCUGGGGCGGUGUGGGUGACAGGACUACCAGAACAGGGUGAUCCUGUCAGAGCCCCUCUCUUCAGGACUGCCAUGCCUUCAGCACAGCUCUCAGCAGCACCAGCUCUCCACUAACAGCCAAUGGAGCGCCGACCAACACCUGGCAAGUGAAUCUGGCUGCAGGGACAUCCCUAAGGUCCCCUCCCCCAGCAGGUGUCCACAGAGCAACACUGAGUAGGACUGAUUCCUGGGCAAAUGUAAGCAACCCUGGAAUAUUUGAAGGUAGAAUUAUUGAAAAAUAUUUGACGAAGAAAAGGAUUGAACUUUGUGCUAAUUUCACACCUAGCAGAUCAGAGCUGUAAUUGAGGCUUAAAAAGAAACACGAACGCACUUUAUCAUCACAAGUUGGUAAAGUCAGGAAUGUACUUUACAACCACUUUAUCAACAUUUAGUCAAACAUUUCCCAAAACUCAUUCAUUUGCCUAGUAUCUAACAAUUUACUAUCUGUACUAUUCGUUACUUAAUAUUUUUCUUUAAACCAAAACACUUUUUCAAACUUAAAUAUCCACUUAAGCUUCAUAUUGAAUGAAAAUAAAUGUGGAAUUAUGGAUCUGGUGCUACUUAUGUUUUUCUAACACAUAUGAAAAUAAGCACAUAACUAUUAGAAAAAUCACCUCAAUUUAUAUGUGGUAUGCGUAUUUCACAUUGGGCAACAUCGAUU
ensembl:lncRNA